AACGAACGCUGGCGGCAGGCCUAACACAUGCAAGUCGAGCGCCCGCAAGGGAGCGGCGGACGGGUGAGUAACGCGUGGGAACGUACCCUUUGCUUCGGAAUAGCCUCGGGAAACUGGGAGUAAUACCGAAUGUGCCCUUUGGGGGAAAGAUUUAUCGGCAAAGGAUCGGCCCGCGUUGGAUUAGGUAGUUGGUGGGGUAAUGGCCUACCAAGCCGACGAUCCAUAGCUGGUUUGAGAGGAUGAUCAGCCACACUGGGACUGAGACACGGCCCAGACUCCUACGGGAGGCAGCAGUGGGGAAUCUUAGACAAUGGGCGCAAGCCUGAUCUAGCCAUGCCGCGUGAGCGAUGAAGGCCUUAGGGUUGUAAAGCUCUUUCGUGGGGGAAGAUAAUGACUGUACCCCAAGAAGAAGCCCCGGCUAACUCCGUGCCAGCCGCCGCCGUAAAAC
rnacentral:rRNA from 1 species